rnacentral:pre_miRNA from 1 species
UGAUGAUGAUGAUGAUGAUAGUGGUGGUGGUGGUGAUGGUGUUUGGUGGUGGAGGCGAUGAUACGGAUGAUGUUAAUGAGAAGUAUAGGAAGAUUAUCAUCAUCAUCAUCAUCACCAUCAUCAUCAUCACCAUCA